AUUGAACGCUGGCGGCAGGCCUAACACAUGCAAGUCGAGGGGUAUAGGGAGCUUGCUUCCUAGAGACCGGCGCACGGGUGCGUAACGCGUAUGCAAUCUACCUUUUGCAGACGGGAUAGCCCAAGAGAAAUUUGGAUUAAUACCUCAUAGUAUGUGAGAAUGGCAUCAUUUUCACAUUAAAGUCACAACGGCAAAAGAUGAGCAUGCGUCCCAUUAGCUAGUUGGUAAGGUAACGGCUUACCAAGGCUACGAUGGGUAGGGGUCCUGAGAGGGAGAUCCCCCANACUCGGUACUGAGACACGGACCAGACUCCUACGGGAGGCAGCAGUGAGGAAUAUUGGACAAUGGGCGCAAGCCUGAUCCAGCCAUGCCGCGUGCCAGGAUGACGGUCCUAUGGAUUGUAAACUGCUUUUUAGACAGGAAGAACACUACUUCGUGAAGUAGCUUGACGGUACUGUAAGAAUAA
rnacentral:rRNA from 1 species